ACCCGAUUAGCUUGAGAAAAAUGCUCACUCUUUCUUAUUUGGCACUUGGGUACGGUGUAUGAAUAUAUGUGAGAUGGAGUAAGAAUUGAAUAUACUAAAGGCUUGAUUGGAAGCUUGAGAAGCUGAAUUGUGGUUAGGAAGGCUUGAAAGCUUGCUUUGUGGAGGUGUCUCGGGUUAUACGUGAAAAUCGGCCAAGAAGCAAGUCGAA